GAUCAUGGCUCAGGACGAACGCUGGCGGCGUGCUUAACACAUGCAAGUCGAACGAGAAUCUGUGGAACGAGGAUUCGUCCAAGUGAAGCAGAGGACAGUGGCGGACGGGUGAGUAACGCGUGAGGAACCUGCCUUUCAGAGGGGGACAACAGUUGGAAACGACUGCUAAUACCGCAUGACACAUUGAAGUCGCAUGGCUUUAAUGUCAAAGAUUUAUCGCUGAAAGAUGG
rnacentral:rRNA from 1 species